UUAUGAUAUAUCAUAUUUCUUUAAUCUUCACAUUAGCCUUCUGUGCUAUUGCACUCUCCAUUUAUAGAUGAGGCAACUGAGGCUAAGAAAGGUUAGGAAGCAAGCCCUAGGUAACACAGCUGAAAAGUAAUUUUGAGCUGCUCAAUUUCAGGACUCUAUACUUGCAUAAUGACGGCGAAAGGUUAGGAAGCAAGGCCUGGGUAACACAGCUGAGAAGGGGCAGGGGGGAGUUUUGAGCUCUCAAUUUCAGGACUCUAUACUUGAUGAUGAUGAUGAUGAUUGCUAUUAUUAUUGAGGCACGGUGUGAUCACAGCUCCCCACAGCCUCAAACUCCUGGGCUCAAGUGAUCCUCCCACCUUAGCCUGCCAAGAAGCUAGGACUACAGGCAUACACCACCACACCUGGCUAAUAUUUUUUAAUGUUUUUGUGGAGAUAGGGUCUUGCUGUGUUGUCCACACUGGUCUCGAACUCAUGGCCUCAAGCGAUCCUCCCAGCUUGGCCUCCCAAAGUGCUGGGAUUACAGGCAUGAGCCACUAUACCUGGUCGUAUACUUGGAUUAUUGCAUAUUGUAAAAAUCACUGUAGUAGCAUUAACCUUUCAGUGAUUUCUCUGAAAUCAGCUGCUUCUAAAAUCUUGAAUAUUUACACUAUUUAUGCCUUUAUUAUAAUUAGAAAACCCUUUCCCUUUCAUAAAUACCACACAUUAAAAUGUACAUCAAAAUACUGCCUAAAAUAUUUUGUGAUUUAUUAAACAUUUUAUUCCUGAAACCCUAACCUCACGUGACAGACCCAAAGCAAAGAUGAUGAUUGUAGCAACAAGUAGAAAAUCUACCAAGCAGGACUGUGGGAGCUGGAAGGAGGUCUCCGUUACCAGCAAUAACCUAGGGUGUGAGUAUUUGUUUCCGAACCAAGUGCGGACAGUCUCGGUUCUGCUUUGCUGGUCUGUGUCGUCAUUGGC
rnacentral:lncRNA from 1 species